rnacentral:tRNA from 1 species
GGGCCCGUCGCCUAGCCAGGAGAGGGCGCCGGCCUCCUAAGCCGGAGGACCCGGGUUCAAACCCCGGCGGGCCCG